GGAAUGCCGUUGAAGCUGUCAAGAAACUAAGAGAAGAUCCCAAAGCCAAUGACCAGUACUUAACUUCCUUUGUAAUUGUCGAUGAAAAUGGGAAGCCUGUAGGCCCAAUUGUGGAUGGUGAUGCUGUUGUAACAUUCAACUUCCGUGCAGAUCGUAUGGUUAUGCUUGCCAAGGCGCUUGAAUAUGAGAAUUUUGACAAAUUUGAUAGAGUCCGAUUCCCUAAAAUCCAUUAUGCUGGAAUGCUCCAGUAUGAUGGUGAGUUGAAGCUUCCAAGCCAUUACCUUGUAUCUCCUCCUGAGAUAGAAAGGACAUCUGGUGAAUAUUUAGUCCAUAAUGGUGUU
rnacentral:misc_RNA from 1 species